CCGAACCGGCCCGCGUCGAGUUCAGGGGGCUGCCGGAGGUCGCGCGUGCGGUCGGCACCGUCUCGGGUCGACCGAGCGUUCCGGCCGUCGGCACCCCUGCACUCUCGGCGAUUCKGGCCGGCCAAGCGCGGCGGGCAUCGGGCGAGGAGCGCGCGUCGGGCAGGUAGCGCAGCCGCCUGGCGGAGGCGAACUUAUAGCCGACCGCGCGGAGCGUCCGGAGCCCGCCGAGGAGAGCGGUGGCACUUCCACCCCAGCAGCGCAGGCCGCCUCGGCGGCGGGGGCUCUCUCGUUCGCUCGACGACCGCGCCGUGUCACUGCUCGCAGUGGCCGGGGUAGGUCGGAGUUCGUGCGGGAGGUCGUCCACUCCCUGCGCUCAGGCCGCUUGGCUAGACGUCGGCGGCAUUCGA
rnacentral:sRNA from 1 species